GUAUUUCAGGCGCAAAUUCCAAAGUUUUUUACUCUCUCUCUAUAUAUAUUCGAUAUCGCCAAUCGAGCACCGAUGUUCUUUGUCCACCGGGAAGAUGCCGGCCGCCGUAUUCCUCCGUAGGAGCCGGCCGGAAGAGCAUCUGGAAAAAGCUACUCGCACCGCCGUAUUCGAAAUUUCGAUUACUGGAGGAGCGUUUUCUUCCGAUUGAUCUGAGCUUUAGUUGCGUUUGAUCUAAUUCUGUUUUGGUAGUCGAUGACUGGAGGUGGAGGUACGAUCGGCUCUGAUCCGAGGAAUUCGCGCUUGUGAUUUCUAAUCGAGGAGGAAAAAUUACCGAUUCUUGUUUUGAUUUUGUGGAGAGGAAUUUGGGAGGGCUUUGUACUGUUUCUACUUCUUCUGCCUGUUUGAUUGCCGAGAAAAUCGCACUCAGGUUCAUUCUCCACUUAUCUGUUUUACUUGCGAACUCAAUUUCUGAUCUAAUCGAGCACAGACAGGUAAAUUUCAGUUUCCUUAUCCUCCGGUUUGAAUCGAGAAAGUAAUUGAUUGUUUUUGUUUAAUCUUCGAGAACAUUAAAUUCCUAAUCCUUCAUUAAACAUUUUGUAUACGCUCUCUCUCACAAUUUCUUGAUCAUCAUGAUCCCAAUCACUUCACCGGAGGGAUUUAAUUCAUAAAUCGUAAGUAAUCUCCUCUUAGCAGCUUUCUUAAUUAUGAACUUCACACCGGUGAAAUUUUUUCAGGAGAUUUUAGCUCUGAGAAUUUUGAAAAGUUUUCUGAGUGAAGCAGUUAGCGAAUUACGGUUUACUUUGCAGGUUGAUCACUGAUCACUGAUCCUUCUCCAAGGCGCUUUUUUCCGACUCUGUCACAUAACAUUAAAGUUAGAAAAAGUUUUAUUUUCAUUUCUUUUUAAGAAGUAUAUAUAUUUAAUAAUUUUUUUUUUACCCGAAGUUGAAGUUCUUUGGCUCUUACAACUAGUGGCACCCAUGCCCACUUAAAGUUCGAACGUUAGAGAUAUCAAGAGUUUAUUUUUUUA